rnacentral:lncRNA from 1 species
UUUUUUUUUUAUUUCGUAAUUUUGACUUGUCUAAGCGCGCUUGUAUGUGCUGGAACGUGUUAGAUCGUUUUACACUGUCCCGUUAGUCCUCGCGAGAGCUAGGCAGGCAGUUCGCUACCCCCUUUGGUUCGCCUUAGGGGAAGGUAGGGCUGUCACAGUUAUGGUCCUCAGGUCACACGGAUUAUUCCAGUUGUCGUAUUUCCUAAUACCACAAAAUAUCUCUUCCCUGAUAUCCCAUCAUCAGGAAAGAUACCAAAGAGAAACUAAAGGGCUC